rnacentral:rRNA from 1 species
GUGAGGAAUAUUGCGCAAUGGAGGCAACUCUGACGCAGCCAUGCCGCGUGCAGGAAGAAGGCGCUACGCGUUGUAAACUGCUUUUAACCGGGAAGAAACCCCAGGACGUGUCCUGGGUUGACGGUACCGGAGGAAUAAGCACCGGCUAACUUCGUGCCAGCAGCCGCGGUAAUACGAAGGGUGCAAGCGUUAUCCGGAUUCAUUGGGUUCAAAGGGUGCGUAGGCGGAGCGUUAAGUCAGUGGUGAAAUCCUGCAGCUUAACUGUAGACUUGCCAUUGAUACUGGCGCUCUUGAGUGCGCUUGAAGUGGGCGGAAUGUGCCGUGUAGCGGUGAAAUGCUUAGAUAUGGCACAGAACACCAAUUGCGAAGGCAGCUCACUAAGGCGAUACUGACGCUGAGGCACGAAAGCGUGGGGAUCGAACAGGAUUAGAUACCCGUGUAGUCC